rnacentral:rRNA from 1 species
GAUGAACGCUGGCGGCGUGCUUAACACAUGCAAGUCGAACGGAAAGGCCCAAGCUUGCUUGGGUACUCGAGUGGCGAACGGGUGAGUAACACGUGGGUGAUCUGCCCUGCACUUCGGGAUAAGCCUGGGAAACUGGGUCUAAUACCGGAUAGGACCACAUUUUGGAUGGUGUGGUGGAAAGUUUUUCGGUGUGGGAUGAGCUCGCGGCCUAUCAGCUUGUUGGUGGGGUAAUGGCCUACCAAGGCGUCGACGGGUAGCCGGCCUGAGAGGGUGUACGGCCACAUUAGGACUGAGAUACGGCCCAGACUCCUACGGGAGGCAGCAGUGGGGAAUAUUGCACAAUGGGCGCAAGCCUGAUGCAGCGACGCCGCGUGGGGGAUGACGGCCUUCGGGUUGUAAACUCCUUUCGCUAGGGACGAAGCGUUUUUGUGACGGUACCUGGAGAAGAAGCACCGGCUAACUACGUG